rnacentral:rRNA from 1 species
GGAAGCGUCUGGAAAGGCGCGCGAUACAGGGUGACAGCCCCGUACACAAAAAUGCACAUGCUGUGAGCUCGAUGAGUAGGGCGGGACACGUGGUAUCCUGUCUGAAUAUGGGGGGACCAUCCUCCAAGGCUAAAUACUCCUGACUGACCGAUAGUGAACCAGUACCGUGAGGGAAAGGCGAAAAGAACCCCGGCGAGGGGAGUGAAAAAGAACCUGAAACCGUGUACGUACAAGCAGUGGGAGCACGCUUAGGCGUGUGACUGCGUACCUUUUGUAUAAUGGGUCAGCGACUUAUAUUCUGUAGCAAGGUUAACCGAAUAGGGGAGCCGAAGGGAAACCGAGUCUUAACUGGGCGUUAAGUUGCAGGGUAUAGACCCGAAACCCGGUGAUCUAGCCAUGGGCAGGUUGAAGGUUGGGUAACACUAACUGGAGGACCGAACCGACUAAUGUUGAAAAAUUAGCGGAUGACUUGUGGCUGGGGGUGAAAGGCCAAUCAAACCGGGAGAUAGCUGGUUCUCCCCGAAAGCUAUUUAGGUAGCGCCUCGUGAAUUCAUCUCCGGGGGUAGAGCACUGUUUCGGCAAGGGGGUCAUCCCGACUUACCAACCCGAUGCAAACUGCGAAUACCGGAGAAUGUUAUCACGGGAGACACACGGCGGGUGCUAACGUCCGUCGUGAAGAGGGAAACAACCCAGACCGCCAGCUAAGGUCCCAAAGUCAUGGUUAAGUGGGAAACGAUGUGGGAAGGCCCAGACAGCCAGGAUGUUGGCUUAGAAGCAGCCAUCAUUUAAAGAAAGCGUAAUAGCUCACUGGUCGAGUCGGCCUGCGCGGAAGAUGUAACGGGGCUAAACCAUGCACCGAAGCUGCGGCAGCGACGCUUAUGCGUUGUUGGGUAGGGGAGCGUUCUGUAAGCCUGUGAAGGUGUGUUGUGAGGCAUGCUGGAGGUAUCAGAAGUGCGAAUGCUGACAUAAGUAACGAUAAAGCGGGUGAAAAGCCCGCUCGCCGGAAGACCAAGGGUUCCUGUCCAACGUUAAUCGGGGCAGGGUGAGUCGACCCCUAAGGCGAGGCCGAAAGGCGUAGUCGAUGGGAAACAGGUUAAUAUUCCUGUACUUGGUGUUACUGCGAAGGGGGGACGGAGAAGGCUAUGUUGGCCGGGCGACGGUUGUCCCGGUUUAAGCGUGUAGGCUGGUUUUCCAGGCAAAUCCGGAAAAUCAAGGCUGAGGCGUGAUGACGAGGCACUACGGUGCUGAAGCAACAAAUGCCCUGCUUCCAGGAAAAGCCUCUAAGCAUCAGGUAACAUCAAAUCGUACCCCAAACCGACACAGGUGGUCAGGUAGAGAAUACCAAGGCGCUUGAGAGAACUCGGGUGAAGGAACUAGGCAAAAUGGUGCCGUAACUUCGGGAGAAGGCACGCUGAUAUGUAGGUGAAGUCCCUCGCGGAUGGAGCUGAAAUCAGUCGAAGAUACCAGCUGGCUGCAACUGUUUAUUAAAAACACAGCACUGUGCAAACACGAAAGUGGACGUAUACGGUGUGACGCCUGCCCGGUGCCGGAAGGUUAAUUGAUGGGGUCAGCGCAAGCGAAGCUCUUGAUCGAAGCCCCGGUAAACGGCGGCCGUAACUAUAACGGUCCUAAGGUAGCGAAAUUCCUUGUCGGGUAAGUUCCGACCUGCACGAAUGGCGUAAUGAUGGCCAGGCUGUCUCCACCCGAGACUCAGUGAAAUUGAACUCGCUGUGAAGAUGCAGUGUACCCGCGGCAAGACGGAAAGACCCCGUGAACCUUUACUAUAGCUUGACACUGAACAUUGAGCCUUGAUGUGUAGGAUAGGUGGGAGGCUUAGAAGUGUGGACGCCAGUCUGCAUGGAGCCGACCUUGAAAUACCACCCUUUAAUGUUUGAUGUUCUAACGUUGACCCGUAAUCCGGGUUGCGGACAGUGUCUGGUGGGUAGUUUGACUGGGGCGGUCUCCUCCUAAAGAGUAACGGAGGAGCACGAAGGUUGGCUAAUCCUGGUCGGACAUCAGGAGGUUAGUGCAAUGGCAUAAGCCAGCUUGACUGCGAGCGUGACGGCGCGAGCAGGUGCGAAAGCAGGUCAUAGUGAUCCGGUGGUUCUGAAUGGAAGGGCCAUCGCUCAACGGAUAAAAGGUACUCCGGGGAUAACAGGCUGAUACCGCCCAAGAGUUCAUAUCGACGGCGGUGUUUGGCACCUCGAUGUCGGCUCAUCACAUCCUGGGGCUGAAGUAGGUCCCAAGGGUAUGGCUGUUCGCCAUUUAAAGUGGUACGCGAGCUGGGUUUAGAACGUCGUGAGACAGUUCGGUCCCUAUCUGCCGUGGGCGCUGGAGAACUGAGGGGGGCUGCUCCUAGUACGAGAGGACCGGAGUGGACGCAUCACUGGUGUUCGGGUUGUCAUGCCAAUGGCACUGCCCGGUAGCUAAAUGCGGAAGAGAUAAGUGCUGAAAGCAUCUAAGCACGAAACUUGCC